GAUGAACGCUGGCGGCGUGCCUAAUACAUGCAAGUCGAGCGAACGGACGAGAAUCUUUCUUCUCUUCUGUUAGCGACGGACGGGUGAUUCACACGUGGAUACCCUAUCUAUAGGACUAAGAUACCUUCACGAACCCUUAUCUCAUACCGGUUCUUAUUUUGAACCUCAUGGUUCAUAAGUGAAAGACCUUCUUGCUGUCACUUUAGAUGGUUCCCCGCUGCAUUAGCUAGUUGGUAAGGUAACGGCUUACCAAGGCAACGAUGCAUAGCCGACCUGAGAGGAUGAUCGGCCACACUGGAACUGAGACACGGUCCAGACUCCUACGGGAGGCAGCAGUAGGGAAUAUUGCGCAAUGGGCGAAAGCCUGACGGAGCAACGCCGCGUGAGUGAAGAAGGUCUUCGGAUCGUAAAACACUGUUAGUAGGGAAGAACAGAUGUGAAAGAAAAUGUGCACAUCUUGACGGUACCUAAACAGAAAGCCACGGCUAACUACGUG
rnacentral:rRNA from 1 species